UAACCCUCAAAGAGUUCUGGAAGAUUCUGUGCGUGGAGCUAACUGAGAAAUCCUGGGCCAGCGUCUCUCUAAGCACACUGAAAUCCACCUGGGUACAGGACAGAGAUGCUGAAAGCUCUGCAGAGGAGCCUGAGCUACCUGAGUGAUGAAAUUUGUGAUGCUGGUUUAAGAAAUAGAAGAAUGAAAGAUAUGGGGACCAUGAAGAAUAUACAAAUGGAAGAGAGUGUAUGUAACCACAGACUCAGGAAAAGGAGGAAGGGAAUUACUGUGGAUUGGCAAAACUAUGGCAACACAAUUCUACUUUCUCUUCCUCAAACAAGGAAGGCACUUAUAAGAAGAGGACAUUGUAAAUGCCCCUUUUUCAAGCCAGAGAA